GGGGAGUUAGCUCAGGUGGUAGAGCGCUCGCUUAGCAUGGGAGAGGUGGUGAGAUCGAUGCCCACAGUCUCCA
rnacentral:tRNA from 1 species